GACGAACGCUGGCGGCGCGCCUAACACAUGCAAGUCGAACGGAGCUGAGAGAAGCUUGCUUUUCUUAGCUUAGUGGCGAACGGGUGAGUAACGCGUGAGUAACCUGCCCUGGAGUGGGGGACAACAGUUGGAAACGACUGCUAAUACCGCAUAAGCCCACGAUCCGGCAUCGGAUUGAGGGAAAAGGAUUUAUUCGCUUCAGGAUGGACUCGCGUCCAAUUAGCUAGUUGGUGAGGUAACGGCCCACCAAGGCGACGAUUGGUAGCCGGACUGAGAGGUUGAACGGCCACAUUGGGACUGAGACACGGCCCAGACUCCUACGGGAGGCAGCAGUGGGGGAUAUUGCACAAUGGGGGAAACCCUGAUGCAGCGACGCCGCGUGGAGGAAGAAGGUUUUCGGAUUGUAAACUCCUGUCGUUAGGGACGAUAAUGACGGUACCUAAAAAGAAAGCACCGGCUAACUACGUG
rnacentral:rRNA from 1 species